CAAUAGAGUCUCCUGCUGUGACUCGAAGAGGCUUGUGGGAACACCGCGCAGACGCAGAAGCAAAGAUUCCAGUGCUGUCUGCCCCCUGAGUCAUGGGGCUGGAUAUUGAGAAGCUGUUUCGUCCGUUUUCCUAAUGGUUUUUAGGAGAGGCACCUGGCCAUUUAGGACGCCAGCUUCCGUGCACUGCGUGGCCAGAGUCCGCAUCCUGCGACCCCGCCACCUAGUCCGGGCUCGACAUCUGCUCGGGAGGCGUCCCGACGUCCUGCGUUAUCUCUCAAUCCGAGACAGGCUGUUUCUCUUAUCUUACAUUUUCACCUCGGCAUUCAGAGCCCCUGGAGCCUCGAGUUGGGCACCCGCUGCAUCCCUCUGCUGGCCGAGGAUGGCGGGCGAGGGCUCCCGUUAAAAUAGCAGUUCCAAAGCGAGUGCAUUAAAAAGUAAAUGUGUUCAGAAGUUUUGACUAAUAAUCCUGAAAAGUCGAUUCCAUAGUAUGUGGCCAUCUUUGUAGGAAGGAAACUGAGCAGCGGGUAUGAUCUCUAAAGGGCUGCGGUGAGCAGCCUCCUGACGGCAGCCCGGCUAGCUCAGUCGGUAGAGCAUGGGACUCUUAAUCCCAGGGUCGUGGGUUCGAGCCCCACGUUGGGCGGAAGGCUUGUGUUUUUUUCACCAUAACACUCAAUGGUAUACAAACCCUCUCUCUCCAUAUUUUUUCCUAAAACACUCAUUUAAGAAGUGUCCUUAGCUGAGUUGAAGUAACUGCUUUCAGUUCCAACCAGAUCUGGAAAAGGGCUGGCGCCAUCGCCAAGGCGCCGCAGACUGCGCGUGCGCACCGGACUGCGCCCCUCCUCGCCUGUGCCUUUCGCCCGGCUAGAGCUGUGGGCUGCUUCCCGUGCGCGUGCGCGGUCGCGGGCCGGCCUGGGGCGGCACAGCUUUGUGAGCACUGUGGCGUGUGCAGCUUCCACCGCGCCUGUGAGUCCGGUCCCUGCCAGCUGGAGCGGUUUCCUCGCUGCGGGACCCUGGUUCUCUGGGAACUAGCCCCGAAGGGACGUCUCCUUUCCCUCUUCCCCGGGCCCUGCCCGCCGGCUCUCAGGGGAGCUGCUCGGCGGGCCAGCAAGUGCGCGAGUUCGGCCAGCGGGUUGGAAAGCCGCUGUAACAUCCCUGUUUGAUCUUGAUCCAGUGACCCAGUGAGCCGCUGCGGGUUUCUUUACGCAGCCCGCGAACCGCGCCCUGUGGGGGAGGGAGGGAUGUGCAGGCGGCUGCUCGCCGUGAGGGCUUCACGGUUCGCGGCGUUGGGGGUGGGCCUAAGUAACCCUCAUCCCAGCGCCCACGGUCGGGCGAGAUGACGGAGGGGCGGCCGAGACCCGGAAGGAAGCUAGGUGUCCCAGAUGUACUAAGUCCAAGUGUUACUGGGCAGGCCUGAUCUGUUGUCCUGGUAUAAUAGACAGCUGGGGUAGGUAGAAAUAUUGUAGGCCGACGGUGCUGGGCCCCGGAGGAAGUCAGACAAAAGGGGAAAAUACUAGGGCUGUGGCCAGAGACCAUCAGUUGGAAGCCAGGCCUGAAGAUAACAACAAAGGAGCGACCAACACACUGCCCCAGGGGUGAGAUAAGUCUCAUCUAACCAAGGCAAGAUAGGCAUCAGUCACCCAAUGGGCAACCAAAGAUCCCACCCCUUUUAUCUGUCACCUGCCUGAGAAGUUCUUUGUUCUUUCCACGCCCACUUUACCGACUGGCUUCCCCAUUGGAUCAGUAUUACCUAAGCAGCUACUUGGAAUCUUAUUGGUUGAUCGUAUCUGUAACCCACAUUACACCCAUGUGAGUUGUGCUAUGUAAGAUUUCUCUGUAAAGGGUUCCCUUCUGUCCCUCUGUCAGGAGCUUUCUGUCAUGUAAAGGGUUCCCUUCUGUCCCUCUGUCAGGAGCAUUCUGCCUACUUUUGGGGCUGGGGAUUUAGCUCAGCGGCAUAAGUGCCUGCCUUGCAAGCAGCGGGUCGUGAGUUCGAUCCCCGGUACCGAUAAAAAAGAAAAAGACAAAAAAAAAAAAAAAAAAAAAAAUCCUACUUUUAACCUUCGUUGUUCAUCGACUUUAUUCUUCAAUUUUAGAGAAAACAAACUCUCAGACAUCUAACAGGUUGGGAGUUACAAUAUUUCUCGUAUGCCACACUUGAAGGUUCUGAUAUUAUCCCCGUAUCACUACCAAAAAUGUUUUACAAGUGUGGUCGCUUUGACAGUUAACCUCCACCCUUAGCAUCCACCGCAGUAAGGUGCUCUUGAUUCUCCUAACACGGUCCCCCGCAAACUUAAACAUGCAUUUGGAUAUCUGGUAGCUAUUCCACAUUCAGUGUGUACAGAAUGUAAUCUUUGAUACUCGUCCAAAAACCUAUUUCUCUAUUAGCAAUUUUCCUUUUUUGUUUUUAAAAAUAGUCUUUGUACUUAUUCAGAUCAAAAAUUUGGAAUCAUUGAUUUCUCUCGUUUCCUUCAACGCCAUUAUGAAAGUACUGUUGGAUGAGUCAAGCCUGUGGUAUUCCCCUCACCCACCCAUGUGGUUAAUUUUAUCCAGGGGAUAUUAACAUAAUGGUAAGCAAAUUAUUAUACUCCUUUGGUGCCACGUGCUAUUGAUAUAGGAGAGUGAAACUCUCAACUUACUAUGUUUGCGAGUUCCUUUUCUCUAGAAUCAGAGAAUGAAUUUUAGGAAUAACGGAGGUUAAGAGUAGAAUAUAUUUAUUGAGAGGAAAAAUGCUUCUGUGUGAGAGAGACAGAAGGGGUUCCGACCGCAUUACCAAAGACUGUCUUUUCCAGGGACUUUUAUAUAGAGUAAAACCAUGGGUUCAAGGUGGUGGUGGUGGGUGUUCACAAGGCACAUGGGCCUAAGGUGGGACAGAACUAUGGUUAGCCAAUAAGAUUAGUAGUUCAUGUAAAAUUGAUUAAAUUGGGGACAAAUGGGAAAGCAAGUGCAUAUUAAGCAGGCAUUCUUAGAGCUGUGACUCUUCCCUAGGGGGUUGGGAUGGUGACUCUAGGCUUCCUCAGGGUGAUAGGGAACUAAUUAGAAUAUCAGCCUUUAGGAUGUAGAUGCAUUUUUUGACCCUUUGUCUUGAGGCCUGGCCCACAGCAGGAGGUGUCUGUCUCCCCCACAGUAGUAAGGUAUCUGCACUGGCUCCUUUGAGGACCUAGCCCUGUCUCACUGCCUAUAAUAUUUCUAACUAACUCAGCUGCCUGCAACACUAUGUAAGAUGAAACUUUGAGGAAGCUCAUGCUAGCCACAUGGAGAGAAAGGCCAUGUGUAGUGGAGAGCGGCUGUGGAGAAAGUACUGAGACCCCAGACGGGUAGGGAAAUUCUCUCACCCUCCCACUUCCAGCACACCAAUGGCAUCCUGCAGGUGAUUCCCCUCAGUGACACCAGAUGGAAUAGUACUGCUCUGCUGAGCCUUUUUUUACCUCAAUUCCUGAGCACAGAAUUAUAUGUAAAUAAAAUUCUUGUUUUAACCCACUAGUUCUUAGAGAAGUCUGUUACAUAGCAUUUGAUAGUUGGAACAUCCACACCAAAUCCUUCAAGAUAUUUCCAGAAUCAGAUGUCUCACCCUUCCAGUAGGCACUUCAUCUAUACUAUCACCUCUCCUACAAUGGUUUCCUUCUUGCUUACAGUGCUAGGGAUCAGACCCAGGGCCUCAUGCAUUAGGCAGGCACUUUGCUACAAUCCCUGAGCUACACCCUCACAUUUGUAAAAAUACAUUUUGAGACAGCAUCAGUAAGUUGCCGGGGCUGGCUUUGAAUUUGUCAGGUUCUUGUCUCAGCCUCCCUAGGAACUGGGAUUAUGGUUUCUUAACGGAUCUUCCUGCAUCAAUUGUUUCCCUCAACUCUGUCCUCCACAUUAUGUAGAGUAACCUAGUUAAAGCUAGAACAUCUUAUUUUACUCAGAACUCUCAGAGGGCGCGUCUCCUUUGAGGAACCCUGAGAAGAUGUGCCUGUCUCUUACGUUUCUCCUGUGGCCUUUGCCGCCCCCAGGAUGUGUCAGGCAGUGCCUUCAGUAUGGCUCUUGCCUGGCUUGUUUCUUAGACGUUACUUUUCCUCUCAAAUAGCCACUGAACUCAUCUGCCUAGUUUGUUCAAAAAUCACAGGACAAUGUGCCCAGUUGUCACCACACUUUACCUUGCUGUUAUUUUUUCCACAGACCAUAGGGCUUUUUUGUUGUCAUUGUCUUUUGAGACAGGGUCUGGCUUGUUCACAAAUGUGUCUUGAACAGCUAAAUUAGUAUCUGGCCAAUGUAUGCAGGCCUUGAACCCAUGCUUCCUGCCUCAGCUUCCUGAGUAAAAGUUUCUGAGAUUGUGUCUCUGCCAACGCUGUGAUUUUAAGUUUCUAGCCUCAAGCACUAUAAGGCUGCCAUGACAAAAUAUCAUAAACUGGGUAGCUUGAAACUAUUGUCAUAUUGUGCUGAAGGCUAGAAACUUGAAAUCAUGGUAUUGGUAGGGACAGUCUCAAAACAUUCUUUUACUUCGGAAGCUGAGGCAGGAACCAUAGGUGCAAGGCCUGCUUAGACUACUGACACAAAAUGACCUUUCCUGUAGCUUCUGGUAUCCCAUAUAGUUCUUUGGCAUUUUCAGCUACAUGGUUUAUGUGUGUCUUAGUCAUCACUCAGGGUUCUGUGUGCACCUCUCUCACAUCCUCUUAUUCAGGACAACAGUGAUACUGAAUUAGGGCCCACUUUAAUGAUCUCAUCCAAAUUUGUAUCUACAACUGUUUCCAAAUAAGGUCACCUUCAUAGGUACUGAGGUUGAGACCACAAUGUAUCUUUUUGUGAGGUGUAUUUCAACCAAUUAACAGAGACCACUCCUUAACUCCUCUCACUGGUCAUUUGCCACUUUAUAGUUAGUUAUAAACUUUCAGUUUAUAACUCAGUUUAAUCUCACCUUCAGGAAACUUGGAUGAGGAAACUAGAUUGACAGAUUGAACUUUCACAGUGCUAUUUACUGGUUUACCAUGUUUUUCAAAACUCUUCAAGUAUAAUUAGUGAUAUCUCAAUGUUAUCCUGUUUCUGUAAUGUGACACCACCCAAGUGAUGUUUUUAUAUUACUUAACAAUAAGAAAAUGUUGUAAGCUAAUGUCAAUGAAAGACCAAGUCAGUAUGAAUGUGAAGCAGAAAAAUAAAAUAAUCAUUCCUGCAGAAAUCAUGUUACAGUAACAUAGUUAACCAGCAGAGACCAUCAGGUUUGUGUGAAGGCAACAUGGCACGGAAUUUGUUGUGCCUGGGAACAAGCAGACAGCAUGAUCAGACCUUCUGCCCUGAACAAAGAGAAGUAUGUCCUCUUUAUAGAGGUGGACAAAAGGCAACAGACAUUUGGCAGGAAGAGCCCAAGAACAUCUGUAGUCCGUCUUCUGGUGAUCUUGCAUCUCAGUGCGUCAUCCUUCAAAGUGUCUGGUGUAAAUCCUUGGGUGUCUCCAGAUGUCCCCAGGACCUGCAAACUUCCUUGCCUAUUAUCUCCUUUCCUGUUUGACUAGUGCUGAGCCGAGUUCCCUGCGAACAGUAGUUCUGCUGGUGCACAGGCUGGGGACUGGGGGAGUCCCCUUAGAGACUUACACAGUUAAACUAUGUAACUGACAACAGUAUAUCUAUUUAUGGAAAGCUCAUUGAGUGAUCUCAAAGUUAAGAAAUAUGGGGCUGGGGAUUUAGCUCAGCAGCAUAAGCGCCUGUCUUGCAAGCACGUACAUGGUCAUGAGGUCGAUCCCUGGUACCAGUAAAAAAAAAAAAGUUAGGAAAUAUGUUCCUGAGGAGGAUGAAGGCUGUAUAGGAAGGAUUAUGUGAAACUUAUGUCUGUUAUGGAUAAUGUGCUUGGAAAAUAAUCACUGUAUGUGAUCCCUGUUCCACUGUGGAACAGUGGUAGGCCCACAGAAGAAUCUCACCUUCAGGAAACUUGGAUGAGCAAACUAGAUUGACAGAUUGAACUUUCACAGUGCUAGUUACUGGUUUACCAUGUUUUUCAAAACUCUUCAAGUAUAAUUAGUGAUAUCUCAAUGUUAUCCUGUUUCUGUAAUGUGACACCACCCAAUUGAAGAUGUGUAGAAAAUUCAGUUCACGUGACCUAGAAUAACUGCCAACUAUUGAGAUCCUGUGGGAACCAGGUCAAAAGCCUCUUUUCAUGAAUUUUUUUUCCCCUUUACCUACAGAUGUACAUCAGUAACAAGCAGCUGAUACUGUCCAGGCCCCUCACUACACCUAUAUCACUGCUUGCUUACACAUCCAUUUCUGCUAGUUUACAAGUGCUAAGGUCUUAUUGCUAUAGCACUUUUAGUAUUAAAGCUAUACUAGGCACAUAGCAGACAUUCAGUAGGUAACAAAUGAACCUUAGUCCUGCACUAUAAAAGUGGCAUUAGGUGACGAAGAUAGAGGUUUAAAAAAAAUUUUUUUUUCGGGGACUGGGGAUUUAGCUCAGCGGCAUAAGCGCCUGCCUUACAAGCAGGCAGUCGUGAGUUCGAUCCCUGGUACCAAUAAAAAAGAAAAAGAAAAAAAAAA